GACGAACGUUGGCGGCGUGCUUAACACAUGCAAGUCGAACGGUAAGGCCCUUCGGGGUACACGAGUGGCGAACGGGUGAGUAACACGUGGGUGAUCUGCCCUGCACUUCGGGAUAAGCCUGGGAAACUGGGUCUAAUACCGGAUAGGACCACUGCCUGCACGGGCGGCGGUGGAAAGCUUUUGCGGUGUGGGAUGGGCCCGCGGCCAAUCAGCUUGUUGGUGAGGUAACGGCUCACCAAGGCGACGACGGGUAGCCGGCCUGAGAGGGCGACCGGCCACACUGGGACUGAGACACGGCCCAGACUCCUACGGGAGGCAGCAGUGGGGAAUAUUGCACAAUGGGCGCAAGCCUGAUGCAGCGACGCCGCGUGAGGGAUGAAGGUCUUCGGAUUGUAAACCUCUUUCAGUAGGGACGAAGCGAAAGUGACGGUACCUAAAGAAGAAGCACCGGCUAACUACGUGCCAGCCGCCGCAGUAA
rnacentral:rRNA from 1 species